AGCAGCCGCGGUAAUUCCAGCUCCAAUAGCGUAUAUUAAAGUUGUUGCAGUUAAAAAGCUCGUAGUUGAAUUUCGGGAUUAAUAUGUUGGUCGUACCUUGGUACGUACUGGCAUUAUUGAUUCCUACCUUCUGAAGAACCUCGAUGUCAUUAACUUGGUGUUACGGGAAAUCAGGACUGUUACUUUGAAAAAAUUAGAGUGUUUAAAGCAGGCUCACGCUUGAAUACAUUAGCAUGGAAUAAUGAAAUAGGACGUUCGAUCCUAUUUUGUUGGUUUUUAGGAUCAACGUAAUGAUUAAUAGGGAUAGUUGGGGGCAUUAGUAUUCAAUUGUCAGAGGUGAAAUUCUUGGAUUUAUUGAAGACUAACUACUGCGAAAGCAUUUGCCAAGGAUGUUUUCAUUAAUCAAGAACGAAAGUUAGGGGAUCGAAGACGAUCAGAUACCGUCGUAGUCUUAACCAUAAACUAUGCCGACUAGGGAUCGGAUGAUGU
rnacentral:rRNA from 1 species